AGAGUUAAAUAGUACGUGAAAUUGUUAAAAGGGAAACGAUUGAAAUCAGUGUUGCGGCUGGACAAUCAGCCGGGAGUCGGGCGAGGUAUGCGGGCCGAGGAGUGUCAAAACCCUCGCCGUUGUCCGAGUCAGGCUGCCGGUGCACUUGUUCAGUAGCAGGUCAGCAUCAGUUUUGGCUGGUGGACAAAGCCGUGGAGAAGGUACCUAGCCCUUCGGGGAGAGUGUUAUAGCUCUGCGGAAAUACACCGGACGGGACUGAGGAACGCAGUGUGACCCGCAAGGGAUGGCAGGCGCUAAGCCAGCCGAGUUCUAGUCCGGCAGACAGCUUGCUGACUGUCGGACGAGUACCAGGCAUGAGUUUGGCUGUCCUGACUGUGCACACUUAGGAUGCUGACAAAAUGGUUUUAAACGACC
rnacentral:rRNA from 1 species